UGUCCUAUGCAUCAUUAGUACUCCCAUGUAACAUUCAUCGAAGUCACAACGACGAAAAAAAAGCAUGCAAAGGGGAGUAACAAGUCAAACAUGUAGGGGCAUUGAAGAGGUUUUAAACACUUAGAAAAAAUUUAGCUUCAGAAAUCAGUUCUUCGGGCUAGUUUCCUUCUCGAUUUUCAUGAUCAAGACAUGUUCAAAAUCGAACAAAAACACAUCUAGGAUUCUUACCUUGCUUCCUAGUUUCUUUUUCAAGUGACUCUUGGCCAAGGAAACCACGAAAUUGUCCUCUGGAAGCACGUGGAAAUUGG
rnacentral:lncRNA from 1 species